rnacentral:rRNA from 1 species
GACGAACGCUGGCGGCGUGCCUAAUACAUGCAAGUAGAACGAGUGGCGGACGGGUGAGUAAUGUCUGGGAAACUGCCUGAUGGAGGGGGAUAACUACUGGAAACGGUAGCUAAUACCGCAUACAAUCAGAUGUGCCCAGCUGGGAUUAGCUUGUGGGGGGGGUAACGGCUCACCAAGGCGACGAUCCCUAGCUGGUCUGAGAGGAUGAAGAGCAACACGGGAACUGAGACACGGUCCAGACUUCUACGGGAGGCAGCGGUGGGGAAUAUUGCACAAGGGGCGCAAGCCUGAUGCAGCCAUGCCGCGUGUAUCAAGAAGGCCUUCGGGGUGUAAAGUACUUUCAGCGGGGAGGCGUUACCCGCAGAAGAAGCACCGGCUAACUCCGUGCCAGCAGCCGCGGUAAUUC